rnacentral:rRNA from 1 species
UACGUAGGGUGCAAGCGUUAAUCGGAAUUACUGGGCGUAAAGCGUGCGCAGGCGGUGAUGUAAGACAGUUGUGAAAUCCCCGGGCUCAACCUGGGAACUGCAUCUGUGACUGCAUCGCUGGAGUGCGGCAGAGGGGAUGGAAUUCCGCGUGUAGCAGUGAAAUGCGUAGAUAUGCGGAGGAACACCGAUGGCGGAGGCAAUCCCCUGGCCUGCACUGACGCUCAGUGCACGAAAGC